rnacentral:lncRNA from 1 species
CAGGGACUCGGGCCCUCCCCCGUCCCUUUGAUGACUCUGAACCAUCAGGGUGAACUCAGAUGCCCUAGGUCAACAUUGUACUUGAAGAAAAACCAGGGUUCUGCACAGCUGCCGCAUUACGCUGCUCCCAUAGGAAGAAACCCGCCAAAGACAACGCGGUACGGAUGUUUCCACUGCGUUCCUGCUGGCAUUUGAUUAUCAUUAUGGAGGCUGCCGCCUGCCAGGCGCUGGCGGAACUUUCAUGCAGGCUCUCAGCUCGGGACACGUGACCCACAUCCAAAAUCCACUCAGAACUCAGGUUGGCAAGGACAAUCCUGGCAGACUGGCUAAUUAUCUCGACGAUGUGAAAGAUAUGUUUUAACUGUCC